rnacentral:rRNA from 1 species
CUGCUGCCUCCCGUAGGAGUCUGGUCCGUGUCUCAGUACCAGUGUGGGGGACCUUCCUCUCAGAACCCCUAGACAUCGUCGCCUUGGUGGGCCGUUACCCCGCCAACAAGCUAAUGUCACGCAUGCCCAUCCGUCUCCGGAGUUGCCUCCUUUGGCCGAAAGAAGAUGCCUCCCCUCGGCCACAUGCGGUAUUAGGCCGGAUUUCUCCGGGUUAUCCCGCUGAAACGGGCCAGGUUGCAUACGCGUCACUCACCCGUGCGCCGGUCG